GAUGAACGCUAGCGGCAGGCUUAAUACAUGCAAGUCGAGGGGCAGCAGGUUUGUAGCAAUACAAAUGCUGGCGACCGGCAAACGGGUGCGGAACACGUACGCAACCUCCCUUUAACUGGAAGAUAGCCCACCGAAAGGUGGAUUAAUACUCCAUAAUAUAACUGAAUGGCAUCAUUUAGAUAUUAAAGCUCCGGCGGUUA
rnacentral:rRNA from 1 species